ACUCAGUAUAAAUCACAAAAGUAUACAUCAUCUGAGUCGAAUCAUUUCAUCUGUCCGAUAUGUAUAGAAAACAUCAGCAGCCAAAUAAAUGAGACAAAUAAUGUUGAAACUUUGACUUCGGGUACGAAUCAAUGUGGGGACGAACCACAUCAAAGGGAGACAAAUGAGGGUUGUACUCUCAAAUUAAACGACAGUUUUCUCCCUUCUCACGAUGAAGAAGAAGAUUGGGGUGAUGUCCCCUUACAAAUCCAACAUGGCGGCGCCCAUGAAACGUCAAUGUCAACAACAAUUUCCAUAGAUGGUUAUAAACUCGAACGUAGAGACCGUACAUCACGUGGAGGUGGCAUUAUGACUCUGGUGCGAGCUGACUUACCAAUAAAGAGGAGAAAGGACCUUGAAUGUGACCAGAAGAAGAAAGUUUAAAUCUUAUAGAAUGGUUCAACUUUAGCCAGAUGCAAACAAACCCUGACAAAUUUCAAGCAAUUUCUGUUGGAAAAUAUACGCAUGAUGUCUCUCCUACCUUUCAAGUUGGAGAUGUAUGUAAAUACUUUACUAGUACCAACUGUAAAAUCCACUACCUAUGGUAAGAAGUCGUUCAGGUAUGAGGCAGUGCAGGUGUGGAACAGCCUCCCAAAUGAAAUCAGACAGGUGGAUAACUUCAAAGAGUUCAGGAGACUGAUCCGCACCUGGGCUGGACCAUCCUGUAAAUGCUCCCUAUGUAUGUAGU
rnacentral:lncRNA from 1 species